rnacentral:rRNA from 1 species
GAUAAACGCUGGCGGUCUGCAUAACACAUGCAAGUCGAACGAAGCUCUUUGGAGCUUAGUGGCGGACGGGUGAGUAACGCGUGAGGAUCUGCCUUUAGGACUGGGACAACGAUCGGAAACGAUCGCUAAUUCCAGAUAUGCAGUUAGUGAAACGGAGCAAUCCGCCUAAAGAUGAACUCGCGUCCGAUUAGCUAGUUGGUAGUGUAAGGGACUACCAAGGCAACGAUCGGUAGCUGGUCUGAGAGGACGAUCAGCCACACUGGAACUGAGACACGGUCCAGACUCCUACGGGAGGCAGCAGUGAGGAAUUUUCCGCAAUGGGCGAAAGCCUGAUCCAGCAAUGCCGCGUGAGUGAAGAAGGCCU